rnacentral:rRNA from 1 species
UACGAAGGGUGCAAGCGUUAAUCGGAAUUACUGGGCGUAAAGCGUGCGUAGGCGGUUAUUUAAGUCUGUUGUGAAAUCCCCGGGCUCAACCUGGGAAUGGCAAUGGAUACUGGAUAGCUAGAGUGUGAUAGAGGAUGGUGGAAUUCCCGGUGUAGCGGUGAAAUGCGUAGAGAUCGGGAGGAACAUCAGUGGCGAAGGCGGCCAUCUGGGCCGAUACUGACACUGAGGAGCGAAAGCGUGGGGAGCGAACAGG